CAGCCGCCGCGGUAAUACGUAGGGUGCAAGCGUUAAUCGGAAUUACUUGGCGUAAAGCGUGCGCAGGCGGUUAUAUAAGACAGAUGUGAAAUCCCCGGGCUCAACCUGGGAACUGCAUUUGUGACUGUAUAGCUAGAGUACGGCAGAGGGGGAUGGAAUUCCGCGUGUAGCAGUGAAAUGCGUAGAUAUGCGGAGGAACACCGAUGGCGAAGGCAAUCCCCUGGGCCUGUACUGACGCUCAUGCACGAAAGCGUGGGGAGCAAACAGGAUUAGAUACCCGUGUAGUCCCUGUCUCUUAUAC
rnacentral:rRNA from 1 species